CGCCCCCACGUCCCACCGCGGCCGCUGCCCUGCCCCCUCUGCGUCCCAGAUGGAUGGCGUCGGGAGAGGUAGAUCGAGGGGGCGGGUACCGUGUGGGUCUUCUCUUUCGGGACGCCACUCCGACCCAAUCCGGUGAGGAGGCCACCGCCACCAUGACUCCGGAUACAGGCCGGCCCAUCGCCACCGGCAUGCCUUACCGCAAGGCCGACUCGGGCACCUCCUGUCAAUGGUUGCCGCGCAGAUGAUAGUAUGAUACCGAGGGGCAGCCAGAGUGCCAGACGCCGGCGUGGCGGGUAGACGAUGAUGCACCUUGCGACGCUGACAGUAUCUCCUGCUCCAGCGAAGCACAACGUCUCUUGUAGAAGAUAUCCUCCGCCUGCAGCGGGAUGUGUUCGUUUCCAGGGGGUGGCAUUGCAAGAACCUCACACAUGGUGAAGAAGAUGCAGUUGAAAAGCGACCGGCUCACUCCAUUAUUCGUUUGGAUGCAUUAUUAUCAGGUUGUUUCUUCUUAGUUUAUUGACAGCAAGAAUUGAUAGCCUUUUCCUUUUGUACGUUGUGUUUCUUAAUCACCUAGCUUACCUGGAUUCAAGAGUAUGACUAUUGGUUGUUGUUUUUUGAGAGGACGACUGUUGGUUGUUGAGAGGAUGACUGUUUGCCUCCAAGGAAGCUACAGGGCUGAUCCAAGUAAGCAAGUUUUUUCUUAUCUGAUCCUAAAACAAAUGACUUGACAGAAUAAAGUAUAAGCAAUGGACUGCACAAAUAUAUACAAGUGCAUCAAUUAUUCUGCUAGCUUUUACAUAAUGAGCUAUUCUUAGAAACUAUUCCUGUAAGCAUACGCUUUUGUACAAUUUUUUUUGUUAAUUCCUAUGUAUUAGCUUUGACUUUCUUCAGUUCCUACGUUAAGUACCUCGAUCCUUUUCAGUAUGCUGAAGGUUGAAAAUGAGGCUGUCACUAUGAAGAAUAUUUGCCGUUAAGUUUAAAUUCCUUGUUAAAGGUUCAGUAAGAUACUUGAAUAUUGUCGAUGUCAAACUGCAUGUAUACAUGACGAUCGAUUAAAGAAUUAUGUGCUGAUAUCUUCCAAUGUUGGUUGAACUACAUAUGCUUUGCUUACAGGUUUUCUAGAUAAAAAUAAGGGAUGAUAGGUUUUUGACAAACUUGAUUCUAAAGUGAAUGCUCACCUAAAGGCUUAAUAUAUAGAUACAGUGCUUCCAUCACUUGGGUAAGUUGAAUGCAAAUUUGCACACUUUUCUCUACUAUUAUGAAAUAUGUUCGGAGCAAAAAAAUCUCAUGAGUACGACAGUUCUCACGAUUUUAUUGUAUGCGUGACAUAGAUUAGAUGAGAAUAAAAUUUAAUCACAGGUAUGUUGCCUCCAUGGUAAACACUGAAGAAAUGGGGGUUGUAUAUUUUCAGAUCAAAUAAUAGCUUUAUUGUUUCUCUAUUCUUUCUUUUUUCUCACACAACAUAAAAACUGAAUGUAUUCAUUACUACUACUGAAUUACUACUACUGAAUCUGUACGGCAUAAGCUCACGAAACGGCAAACACAGGACGAGGUAAAUCAGUUACAACCAAACAUCCCUGAUGUACUUGUUCUAUUGAAAGUCUACUGCUACAUAGGUUAUAUUUGCUUUCUGUAGCCAGCAUAUGAAAAAAUGUACUAAAAACAUUUGAGGCAGUAGAUCCCAACAGCAGAACAGCAGCUAUGCUCGAGAUUGCAGGGAGGUUGUCCAAGCUAGAAAAGAAAGGAUGGAGGCCAAGGCGAACAAUCAUCGUCCGCAGUUGGAAUGCAGAAGAGUUUGCGCUGGGUCUACGGAAUGGACCGAAGAGGACAUGGAUAUGCUUUCUUCAAGAACUGUUGCUUGUCUGAACGUAGAUAUGUCAAUGUUUGGGCCUGGAAGUCUGAUGCUCUGUGGUGCAACCCCACAACUCGAUUAACGAAUCAAGGAAGCAAGCAGAAUGGUACCCGAUCCUGAUGGUCCGUCUCAUACCUUGUAUGGCUACAUGAUUCGCCAGAAUCCUCCUAUGGAUUGCAAGAGUGGCCGGUGCGGAACAGACUUUGCAACUUUGGCCAGCACAUUGGAGUCCCUUCACUUGACAUCUCUUAUGGAUUAUGUAAGUGAAAAUGCUCUUGGUCAAGGAGGCAUAAAAUUCUCUCUUAAACAUAAUACCCGUGCGUUGCCACGGGCCAACAACAGCUCUCCUCCCAGUGUGUCCAGCAGCUUGCCAUGCUAUUGUCAUCUGCUUUCAAUUCCACUGGCAUGUUAGCCCAGCAGAAGCAGCCACUUGCCGUUUACGAACGGUCGUUCAAUCUUACCAUGUCAGAGGGAUGCAAACAGCUAAGGGAUCAUAAAAGAAUCUCCAGAAAGGUCAAGGCUGCACUAAGCAGAUAUGAGAUGCAGAAUUCGGGGCACGCCUGUUAUCAGCUUCAUGUGAUCUGCGGUGUGAUAGUAUCCGUAUCUGGUCGUGACUGGAAGCGAAAAACUCGUUUUGAUGAUGACUACUACCAUCACAUACAUGCCAAAUUUCUGGUGAUGCGGGAUGUUGGCUCUGUAGGUUCAGUUCCAUUACUCUUCUUUGCUGAACUUAGCAAUGACGAUGAUGGCGACAAGGAUAGCCAGCUUUUAUGUUGCCCUGUGGAUUUUCCAACACCAGGGGCUGAGCCAGUGCGCUGCCUUUUCUGCAAGCUAGAAGGGAUCAGGAUUGCGCAUGAUGGAGACCACGGUCUGGAGGGAUCCACGACCGCGACAAUGAAAACGGCACCCAAGUCGCCCACCCGUGCCCACUCCCAGCCUUUCCUCUGGACGCGACACACAGGAUCGGUGGAGCACCACCGAGCGUAGCACCGACUACGACCUCCAUUUUUCUUUGUGGGCUAGAGAAAAUAUUCUGCCAGAGCUCUCCUAGCGCGUGCACUUUCUUCCGUGGCCAGCAGCAGCGACAAAAAAUCUGGGCACUUAGGAUUUCAGGACUGACGUAGAGGAAAUGAUUAGUACUUUGAGCCGAUCGUGGACCUGUGGUAGUUGAUAUGCUUGAUUGUUCUGCUCUAGAUAGUUAUAUGCUUUACUGCAGUUUUAAUAUCUGGUGAGUUGAGAAAAAAAUUAGUCUUCCUUUAUAUAGGUAUGUUGCCUUGCUGAGGCUGCUUUGCCUUUGCUAUAUUUGCUGCUCUUGGCUAUACUAUUGUUCUGUAUAUAUAGAGAUCGGAGAAGAGAGCAGCAGCCUAUUACUACUGAUUUUGUUCAAGCUGCUACUUGCUUACUGUUACACAUCUACACAGGCAAGGCUGCUGAUUGCUGACUGCAAUCCAUUCAUGAUAUGUACAUAUGUAUGCUUCUGCUAGGUACUUGUGAACAGGGAUACAACGAAUGGACGCUUCAG